rnacentral:tRNA from 1 species
GCCGACGUAGCUCAGCGGUAGAGCGCCAGACUCAUAAUCUGGAGGUCGUGUGUUCAAUCCACGCCGUCGGCA